rnacentral:tRNA from 1 species
AGGUUAUUAGCUCAACGGCAGAGCGCGGGAUUGUUAAUCCUGAAGUUGCAGGUUCGAAUCCUGCAUAACCUGC